rnacentral:rRNA from 1 species
UAGCACCUACGGGGGGCAGCAGUAGGGAAUCUUCGGCAAUGGACGAAAGUCUGACCGAGCAACGCCGCGUGAGAGAAGAAGGUUUUCGGAUCGUAAAACUCUGUUGUUAGAGAAGAACAAGGACGUUAGUAACUGAACGUCCCCUGACGGUAUCUAACCAGAAAGCCACGGCUAACUACGUGCCAGCAGCCGCGGUAAUACGUAGGUGGCAAGCGUUGUCCGGAUUUAUUGGGCGUAAAGCGAGCGCAGGCGGUUUCUUAAGUCUGAUGUGAAAGCCCCCGGCUCAACCGGGGGGGGCUAUUGGG